rnacentral:rRNA from 1 species
GGACUACCCGGGUAUCUAAUCCUGUUUGCUCCCCUAGCUUUCGUCCCUCAGCGUCAGUUGCGAUCCAGCGAGCCGCUUUCGCCUCGGAUGUUCCUGCGGAUAUCUACGCAUUUCACCGCUACACCCGCAAUUCCACUCGCCUCUCUCGCACUCCAGCAUAGCAGUUUCGGCAGCGGCCUCUCAGUUAAGCCGAGAGAUUUCACUACCGACUUGCCACACCGCCUACGGACCCUUUACGCCCAGUAAUUCCGAGCAACGCUGGCCCCCUACGUUUUACCGCGGCUGCUGGCAC